rnacentral:rRNA from 1 species
AUGGAACUAGGCAAUAUGAGAUUUUUGGACAGAGCAAGAAGGGCACGACCAUCUGAAUUCAAACUCCAUGACGAGGAAACCAAACAUAAGAAGAGAAACAAUGAAUGCCACAAUACAAGCCCCAUUCCGUUCCUGCAAAAGUUCAUAAAGAAGUUAGCAGAAGAUUGUAUGUUUUCUCAAACUGAUAGGAAACGAAACAAUCGAUGCCCAGAAUUGUCUCGCAGAUAUUACAUCCUGAGCACAAAAAUGGCAGCAAAUUUUGCAAUCCAGGGUCAGGCUUCUCAUACUUUAGAAGGAAUUACGCUAUGUGCUAUGGCCUAG